rnacentral:lncRNA from 1 species
UGUACAAAUACGGGGAAGUUCUUACGUCAUAGAAAGAUCAUAGCGAAUGGUGUGUCGUCAGCUCGAGAUCUCGUUGGGAUGUGUUUUAAUUGUUUCUCUUGAGCAUUGAGAACUUCUCUUCGCCGGAAGGUGAGAGGCGGGUGCUUGCAGUCGGGGCUCUCCAGCUUCUGAGCUCUCGUUUGUGGGAUUUGAGUAGAUAGUAACCUUAGUUCAUGUCUCAUAUGACUUAAUUUAUAAUUAUCUCGCGUGAGACAUCUAUAUCGUUGGUCUUGAACGAGACGUCGAGUUCGUCGAUUCUUGUCUCAAACAGGAAGUCGG